GAUGAACGCUGGCGGCGUGCCUAAUACAUGCAAGUCGAGCGAAUGGAUUAAGAGCUUGCUCUUAUGAAGUUAGCGGCGGACGGGUGAGUAACACGUGGGUAACCUGCCCAUAAGACUGGGAUAACUCCGGGAAACCGGGGCUAAUACCGGAUAACAUUUUGAACCGCAUGGUUCGAAAUUGAAAGGCGGCUUCGGCUGUCACUUAUGGAUGGACCCGCGUCGCAUUAGCUAGUUGGUGAGGUAACGGCUCACCAAGGCAACGAUACGUAGCCGACCUGAGAGAGCGAUCGGCCACACGGGGACUGGGACACGGCCCAGACCCCUCCGGGAGGCAGCAGUAGGGAAUCUUCCGCAAUGGACGAAAGUCUGACGGAGCGACGCCGCGUGAGUGAUGAAGGCUUUCGGGUCGUAAAACUCUGUUGUUAGGGAAGAACAAGUGCUAGUUGAAUAAGCUGGCACCUUGACGGUACCUAACCAGAAAGCCACGGCUAACUACGUGCCAGCCGCCGCGGUAA
rnacentral:rRNA from 1 species